AUGGUUCCCUGCUGUUUCUUGGUGGCCAUGCUGGCCCCUCUGGUGUUAGCUCUGCAACAGUCUCCAGACAUGGUACUCAAAGAAGGUGAAUCCGUGAAUCUGGAAUGUUCCAACAAGAAAUCUUCCAACAGAUAUAUGUACUGGUACCUGCUGCCUUCAGAGAAGAAUUCCAGUCUGACCCAGUUGGUUUAUGCAGCUGAAGGUGCCAAUGCAGUGGUGGAGAAGGGUUUUGAGAGCCAUUUCAAGAGCAGCAAGAUAAAAGGAGACAGUAUCACCCUCUCAAUAGAGCAUGCCUUUCUCAAUGACUCUGGUACAUACUACUGUGCUGAGAGUGAACACAGUGGGAAAACUUUUGUAAACAUGUACUGGUACAAGUUACCCAUGGAGAAGGAUGCCACAAUGCAGCUGGUUGUGUACUCAGUGGAAGGUGGCAAAGCAGAUAUUGAGAAGGAAUUCCAAAAUCGCUUCCAGAGUAAUGGGACCAGGAACAACCAUUUAGCUGUGCAGAUCCAGCAUGCCCUACUCAAUGACACAGGCACAUAUUUCUGUGCUGAACAAGAUCCACAGUGA